AAUAGAUACCGGGUAGUCCACGCCGUAAACGAUGAGUGCUAAGUGUUAGGGGGUUUCCACCCCUUAGUGCUGCAGCUAACGCAUUAAGCACUCCGCCUGGGGAGUACGGUCGCAAGACUGAAACUCAAAGGAAUUGACGGGGGCCCGCACAAGCGGUGGAGCAUGUGGUUUAAUUCGAAGCAACGCGAAGAACCUUACCAGGUCUUGACAUCCCGAUGACCGCUCUAGAGAUAGAGCUUUCCCUUCGGGGACAGCGGUGACAGGUGGUGCAUGGUUGUCGUCAGCUCGUGUCGUGAGAUGUUGGGUUAAGUCCCGCAACGAGCGCAACCCUUGUUCUUAGUUGCCAUCAUUCGGUUGGGCACUCUAAGGAGACUGCCGCAGACAAUGCGGAGGAAGGUGGGGAUGACGUCAAAUCAUCAUGCCCCUUAUGACCUGGGCUACACACGUGCUACAAUGGACGGUACAAACGGUUGCGAAGUCGCGAGACGGAGCUAAUCCGAGAAAACCGUUCUCAGUUCGGAUUGCAGG
rnacentral:rRNA from 1 species